AGGCACGUGGCUCAACGGGAGAGCAUCCGUCUGAUACGCGGAAGACGAUGGUUCGACUCCAUCCGUGCCGACCA
rnacentral:tRNA from 1 species